rnacentral:misc_RNA from 1 species
GCCAAGUUGACUAGUUUUGUACAGGAUUUAACAGGUGCUACACCAAUGGAGUCCUUUUCCUGUAAACCUGAACUAUACCUUGGCUCCCUUGAUACUGUGAAUCAUGUCAUUCUCAACAAGAAGAGUUAUCUUCACUUGCAGAGAGCGAGUUCUGGGAUGAACACCUUGGUUCUGUCCAACUUGGAGGAGGAAAUGGUCUCAGAGCUCAAGGUGGUAUGUGAGACAGCUUUGAACACCCUGCAGAAUAUUUUACAGUAUCCCAUACUGCUCUGUGGUGGAGGUUGCUGGGAAACUUGCCUUUGUUUCCAUAUCAAACAGAAAGUGAAAGAAAACCAGAGUUUCAUUCUUGAGAAAACAAAGUGCACAGCUUCAGCACUUUCAGCAGCCUCUGAAAUAUUUAUCAAGAGUCUACUACAGGUUGCUAAGAAAACAGGUUAUUCUGGAGCCAUGAUGAUGACAUCUUUUCCUACCUUUCAUUCUUGGAGAGUUCCCCUGAAUAGUGAUGACUUUGAUCAUGAUAACGUUUUGACUUGUAACUGUGGUAUGGUGACUGAACCUGCUAAAAAACUAAUGCCUGUGAAUGAGGUGAACUUAACAAUUCUGAAAGUUGACACAGUUUUGAAGGAAGAAGUUUGUAAACUUCAACAAAUUUCUCAGUCAAAAUCUUGUGUGGUUGAUUCCUAUAUAUCAAAUGUUAGUGCAUUUAGGAAAGCUGUUUUCACAGCCAUUAUGAUGUUGAAUGUAGGAAAUUGUUUACAGGAUAUUAAUUGAUAGAGCUUUUUGUAAUCGAUGUAAGGGAAUGAAAUGUGUUUAUGGAUAUUACAUUGAAAGGAAUUGUCUUACAAUUUGUUUUUUGAAAUUUGACGAAUCUACAUAUAUUUUGUAUCUAUCUUUAAGUCUUGAGUGAGAGGUGUGAUAUUCAUAAAACAUGAAAUUUGAUUUACAAAUUAUAAUAAAAUUCAUCAC